UACAGAGGUCUCAAGCGUUGUUCGGAUUCAUUGGGCGUAAAGGGUGCGUAGGCGGCGCGGUAAGUCGGGUGUGAAAUCUCGGAGCUUAACUCCGAAACUGCAUUCGAUACUGCCGUGCUUGAGGACUGGAGAGGAGACUGGAAUUUACGGUGUAGCGGUGAAAUGCGUAGAUAUCGUAAGGAAGACCAGUGGCGAAGGCGGGUCUCUGGACAGUUCCUGACGCUGAGGCAACGAAGGCCAGGGGGAGC
rnacentral:rRNA from 1 species